CAGCCGCCGCGGGAAUACGAAGGGUGCAAGCGUUACUCGGAAUUACUGGGCGUAAAGCGUGCGUAGGUGGUGGUUUAAGUCUGUUGUGAAAGCCCUGGGCUCAACCUGGGAAUUGCAGUGGAUACUGGGUCACUAGAGUGUGGUAGAGGAUAGUGGAAUUUCCGGUGUAGCAGUGAAAUGCGUAGAGAUCGGAAGGAACAUCUGUGGCGAAGGCGACUAUCUGGGCCAACACUGACACUGAGGCACGAAAGCGUGGGGAGCAAACAGGAUUAGAUACCCGCGUAGUCCCUGUCUCUUAUAC
rnacentral:rRNA from 1 species